rnacentral:rRNA from 1 species
UCGAAGGUAGCAUAAUCAGUAGUUUUUUAAUUGAAAGCUUGUAUGAAUGGUUGAACGAAAUAUAUAUUGUCUCUUAAAAAUUUAUAAAAUUUAAUUUUUUAGUAAAAAAGCUAAAAUAGUUUUAAAAGACGAGAAGACCCUAUAGAGUUUUAUAUUUUUAAUUUAAAUUAUAUUUAGUUAAAUUAAUAUUUUAUAAAAAAAAAUAUUUUGUUGGGGUGACAAUAAAAUUUAAAAAACUUUUAAUAAUUAUCGACAUUAAUAUAUGAUUUAUUGAUCCAAUUUUAUUGAUUAUAAGAUUAAAUUACCUUAGGGAUAACAGCGUAAUUUUUUUAGAGAGUUCUUAUCGAUAAAAAAUUUUGCGACCUCGAUGUUGGAUUAA